rnacentral:rRNA from 1 species
UGGCUCAGGACGAACGCUGGCGGCGUGCCUAACACAUGCAAGUCGAACGGAGCGAAAGAAGCUUGCUUCUGGCGCUUAGUGGCGGACGGGUGAGUAACACGUGAGUAACCUGCCUUUCAGAGGGGAAUAAUGUCUGGAAACGGACACUAAUACCGCAUAAAGUAUCUAAUUCGCAUGGAUCGGAUACCAAAGGAGUAAUCCGCUGAAAGAUGGACUCGCGUCUGAUUAGCCAGUUGGCGGGUAACGGCCCACCAAGCGACGAUCAGUAGCCGGACUGAGAGGUUGAACGGCCACAUUGGACUGAGACACGGCCCAGACUCCGUACGGGAGGCAGCAGUGGGGGAUAUUGCACAAUGGGCGCAAGCCUGAUGCAAGCAACGCCGCGUGCAGGAAGACGGUCUUCGGAUUGUAAACUGUUGUCCUCUGUGACGAUAAUGACGGUAGCAGAGGAGGAAGCCACGGCUAACUACGUGCCAGCCGCCGC